AUUAAAAUUAAUUAAAGAAAAUAGUGUGAAUUACAUCGCUAAUGUCAUAGAAUAGCACAUUGUAACGCAGUGUAACAACGUGCCCCAUCUUCGCAAAUGGAAUUUAAAACU